GUUGUCGUUGCAGUCCACGACCAUGCCCUCCAUUAAGCCUCAUCUCCGCAAUCUAUUCCAUAUCUGAGCCAUCGUUCACAGAAGUGUAGGAGAGGUAAGAGAGAAAAGCGUGGUGUCGACAUUUGGGCGAUAGAGAAGGAGGAGAAAAGAGAGAAAGAGAGAGGAGAAAUAGAAGAAAAAAAUGGCAAGGAGGUAGGAGAUGAAUUAAGUGGAGAAAGAUGUACGAAAAAAAGAGAGAGAAAGAGGAAUAAGAAUAUUUUGGUUGGUUUCUUAAAUAUGCAUCGAAUCUGCAAAAUUCAAAAAAGUAAUCCCUUUAUGCAAAAAUUGAAAAC
rnacentral:lncRNA from 1 species